rnacentral:lncRNA from 1 species
AGCACGUCUGAAUCUCUAACUCAGCUGGUUUUAAGGAGGGAAAAUGAAAAAAGAGAAGUUCAGCUUGUUUCAUACAGCUGCUGCUGUUUGCCCGAGGGCUCUGCAGAGUUGUUCUGCCACGCUUCUCUCAUCCCUCUGCUGGUUCUUCAGGUGGUCUCGAAGCCUCUCCCCUGGUUUCUUCAUUUGGUACCAUGGCUCACUUCCAUUGGGAUCAUGUAGUAAGGAAGUGGGAUGUGAAGAACCCCAUUAGUUGGAUGUUUGCACCUCAGCCAUAGCAGCCUAAGCCUACAAGCAUUGAAGUGAUGGAGGGGGAGCAGAAACACAGUGUGCCAUCUCAGUACUGAAGCAUUCCUCCAGAGAGAGAAAGAGAGAGAGAGAGAAGUGACCCAGGAGUUUUUGUGGUCUCAUCCCUGAGCCACAGAGAGAUUUGAAACUGGACCUUGUGUCUGCCUGAACUUUGCAAUGCAGGGAGCAAAAGCCCAACUGCACUCUGUCUUGUGCUCUAGAAGGAUAUCUUCCUAAGUUAUGAGGUAUUGCUCACUUUGGGCACUGCGUCUUCAGCUGUUCAUAUAAGUGCUGCUGUUCAAGUCUGGGAUACCAAAACUGCAUUAGCUACAGGAGGGAGACAGGGUUAUUGCAGCUCAUUGGAACUUAAGGGUGCACUGGCAACUGCUGCAGGAAACUUGACCUUGCCAGGUACGUGAUGUAACCCUGUGUAAUAGCUGGUGAUCUCAGUGCUUUUGAUAACCUGCCUAUUCUUCUUGCUUCCUUGUGUCCCUCUUGGGAGUUGAGAUAAUGUGGAUGACGUUGGGGGGAGGAAGUCCUGCAGCAAUCCAGUUUGCCUUCAGUACAAAUUGCCUUCAGUACAAAUUGAAGCAUAUGAAACCUUCCAUUCAGAGUUAUUUUUUUGUGGACAAAUUGGUGUUCAUUUAUGUUAACAAAAUGCAAAUCUCCCCCUCUUGCUACCUACCUUUAACUUCCUGUUGUUUGAACUGUUCUCACUUAUCACCCCCUCUUUGCAUAUGUAGCAAUUUAGUGCAUCUGUGUCAGGACAUAUAGCACCACUUCAUUUUGUGUGAUACUGAGAAUAUGUAACUGGGACAAAUCAAAUGAUAAAGGACCUUGGGCUUGAGCAGAAAGCCAGUUUUGCUGCAGAUCUGCCUGCUGCCAAAGCAAGGAAGAGUUUUUUUGUGAUGCUUACAGCCUGUAGUACCCAGUGAUGCUAUAAAUGUCAACUGUUCUCUGUAGAUUUCUUUGAGAGAAGUUUAGGCAAAACAACUCUUGUUUAGAGGGCUGACAAGCAGCAGCAUGAGAGCUGUGGGUUUCUCUGGAUGGGCAGCAAAGGCAUAUCCAGCCUUCUGCACAGCCUCCUGUACAUUAGAGCCAUGAACCAAUGUCAACAGAACUGAGGAAAUAAAGGGAGCUUGUUUC